AGCAGCCGCGGUAAUUCCAGCUCCAAUAGCGUAUAUUAAAGUUGUUGCAGUUAAAAAGCUCGUAGUUGAAUUUCGGGAUCAAUAUGUCGGUCGUGCCUUCGGUACGUACUGGUAUCAUUGGUCUCUCCUUUCUGACGAACCAUGAUGUCAUUAAUUUGGUGUUAUGGGGAGUUAGGACUGUUACUUUGAAAAAAUUAGAGUGUUUAAAGCAGGCUUUAGCUUGAAUACAUUAGCAUGGAAUAAUGAAAUAGGACGUUCGAACCUAUUUUGUUGGUUUCUAGGAUCAACGUAAUGAUUAAUAGGGAUAGUUGGGGGCAUUAGUAUUCAAUUGUCAGAGGUGAAAUUCUUGGAUUUAUUGAAGACUAACUACUGCGAAAGCAUUUGCCAAGGAUGUUUUCAUUAAUCAAGAACGAAAGUUAGGGGAUCGAAGACGAUCAGAUACCGUCGUAAUCUUAACCAUAAAUUAUGCCGACUAGGGAUCGGAUGAUGUUAAUUUUUUAAUGACUCA
rnacentral:rRNA from 1 species